rnacentral:sRNA from 1 species
CCUCGUCGACCUGUUGCGGGCAGAUGAAGUGGAUAUGGGUGUCGAUGCCGCCUGCGGUCAGGAUGCGCCCCUCGCCCGCGAUCACUUCAGUGCCAGGGCCGAUCGGAAUGGUGACCCCGGGCUGGGUAUCGGGAUUGCCCGCCUUUCCAAUCGCGGAAAUGAGGCCACCACGGAUCGCGACGUCGGCUUUCACCACGCCCCAAUGGUCGAGGAUCACGGCAUUGGUAAUGACGGUAUCGGGUGCCCCUUCGGCGCGGGACAUCUGCCCCUGCCCCAUGCCGUCGCGG